UGGGGAAUCGUCUAAAGGCAGGACUACGGAUUCUGGUUCCGUGUAUCUAGGUUCGAAUCCUAGUUCCCCAG
rnacentral:tRNA from 1 species